rnacentral:rRNA from 1 species
UCCCAGACUCCUACGGGAGGCAGCAGUGGGGAAUAUUGCACAAUGGGGGAAACCCUGAUGCAGCGACGCCGCGUGAGUGAAGAAGUAUUUCGGUAUGUAAAGCUCUAUCAGCAGGGAAGAUAAUGACGGUACCUGAGUAAGAAGCCCCGGCUAACUACGUGCCAGCAGCCGCGGUAAUACGUAGGGGGCAAGCGUUAUCCGGAUUUACUGGGUGUAAAGGGAGCGUAGACGGCAUGGCAAGUCUGAAGUGAAAGCCCGGGGCUCAACCGCGGGACUGCUUUGGAAACUGUGCAGCUCGAGUGCAGGAGAGGUAAGCGGAAUUCCUAGUGUGGCGGUGAAAUGCGUAGAUAUUAGGAGGAACACCAGUGGCGAAGGCGGCUUACUGGACUGUAACUGACGUUGAGGCUCGAAAGCGUGGGGAGCAAACAGGAUUAGAUACCCUAGUAGU